GACGAACGCUGGCGGUGCGCCUUAUGCAUGCAAGUCGAGCGAAGCUUUUCAGUAGUUUACUACAGAAAAUGACUGAGCGGCGAACGGGUGAGUAACGCGUGAGCAAUCUACCUUAGUUACAGGGAUAGCCCGAGGAAACUCGGAUUAAUACCUGAUAUUCUUUAUUUCUCGCAUGAGAAUAAAAGGAAAGGUCAGCCGAACUAAGAUGAGCUCGCGUUCUAUCAGCUAGUUGGUGAGGUAAAAGCUCACCAAGGCUACGACGGAUAGCUGGUCUGAGAGGACGAUCAGCCACACUGGGACUGAGACACGGCCCAGACUCCUACGGGAGGCUGCAGCAGGGAAUAUUGCGCAAUGAGCGAAAGCUUGACGCAGCGACACCGCGUGUGGGAUGACGGAUCUAGGUUUGUAAACCACUUUCAGGAGGGAAGAAAAUGACGGUACCUCCACAAGAAGCCCCGGCCAACUACGUGCCAGCAGA
rnacentral:rRNA from 1 species